CACGACCUACGGGGGGCAGCAGUGGGGGAUAUUGCACAAUGGGGGAAACCCUGAUGCAGCGACGCCGCGUGGGCGAAGAAGUAUUUCGGUAUGUAAAGCCCUAUCAGCAGGGAAGAAGAAAUGACGGUACCUGAGUAAGAAGCACCGGCUAAAUACGUGCCAGCAGCCGCGGUAAUACGUAUGGUGCAAGCGUUAUCCGGAUUUACUGGGUGUAAAGGGUGCGUAGGCGGCUUGGCAAGUCAGUAGUGAAAUCCAUGGGCUUAACCCAUGAACU
rnacentral:rRNA from 1 species